rnacentral:rRNA from 1 species
AUUGAACGCUGGCGGCAGGCCUAACACAUGCCAGUCGAGCGGAUGAAGGGAGCUUGCUCCUGGAUUCAGCGGCGGACGGGUGAGUAAUGCCUAGGAAUCUGCCUUGUAGUGGGGGAUAACGUCCGGAAACGGGCGCUAAUACCGCAUACGUCCUGAGGGAGAAAGUGGGGGAUCUUCGGACCUCACGCUAUCAGAUGAGCCUAGGUCGGAUUAGCUAGUUGGUGGGGUAAAGGCCUACCAAGGCGACGAUCCGUAACUGGUCUGAGAGGGUGAUCAGUCACACUGGAACUGAGACACGGUCCAGACUCCUACGGGAGGCAGCAGUGGGGAAUAUUGGACAAUGGGCGAAAGCCUGAUCCAGCCAUGCCGCGUGUGUGAAGAAGGUCUUCGGAUUGUAAAGCACUUUAAGUUGGGAAGAAGGGAAGUAAGUUAAUACCUUGCUGUUUUGACGUUACCAACAGAAUAAGCACCGGCUAACUUCGUG